GACGUAGGGCGCGAGCGUUGUCCGGAUUUACUGGGCGUAAAGAGCGCGCAGGCGGUCGUACAAGUCGCGUGUGAAAGCCCCCGGCUCAACUGGGGAGGGUCACGCGAUACUGUUCGACUCGAAGGCAGGAGAGGGAAGCAGAAUUCCCGGUGUAGUGGUGAAAUGCGUAGAUAUCGGGAGGAAUACCAGUGGCGAAGGCGGCUUCCUGGCCUGUUCUUGACGCUGAGGCGCGAAAGCUAGGGUAGCAAACGGG
rnacentral:rRNA from 1 species